GACAAACGCUGGCGGCGUGCCUAACACAUGCAAGUCGAACGGGCGAAGAGGGGAGCUUGCUUUCCUCAGAGCUAGUGGCGGACGGGUGAGUAACGCGUGAGGAACCUGCCUUGGAGUGGGGAAUAACACAGUGAAAAUUGUGCUAAUACCGCAUAAUGCAGUUGGGUCGCAUGACUCUGACUGCCAAAGAUUUAUCGCUCUGAGAUGGCCUCGCGUCUGAUUAGCUAGUUGGUGGGGUAACGGCCCACCAAGGCGACGAUCAGUAGCCGGACUGAGAGGUUGGCCGGCCACAUUGGGACUGAGACACGGGCCCAGACUCCUACGGGAGGCAGCAGUGGGGAAUAUUGGGCAAUGGGGCGCAAGCCUGACCCCAGCAACGCCGCGUGAAGGAGAAGGCUUUCGGGUGUAAACUUCUUUUCUAGGGACGAAGCAAGUGACGGUACCUAAGGGAAUAAGCCACGGGCUAAACUACGUGCCAGCCGCCGCAGU
rnacentral:rRNA from 1 species